GUUUUUUGAAGGAGCGUGGUGCCUCCCCCUCUCUCUUGCCCCCUCUCUCAUCAUGUGACAUGCCUGCUUCUGCUUUGCCUUCCGCUAUGAGUAAAAGCUCCCUGAGGCCUCACUAGAAGCCAAGCAGAUACUGGCACCAAGCUUCCUGUUCAGCCUGCAGAACUAUAAGCCAAUUAAACCUCUUUUCUUUAUAAAUUGCCCAGCCUCAGGUGUUUCUUCACAGCAAUGCAAGAAUGGACUAACACAGAAAACUGGUACUGAGGAGUGAGGUGUGAGAUGUUGCUAUAAAGAUACUUGAAGAUGUGGAAGUGACUGUAGAACUGAGUAAUGGGCAGAGGUUAGAAGACUUUGGAGGGCUCAGAAGAAGACAGGAAGAUAAGGAAAGUUUGGAACUUCUUAAGAGACUGGUUAAAUGAUUUUGACCAAAAUGCUAAUAGAAAUAUGGAUAGUGAAUACCAGGCUGACAAAGUCUCAGAUGGAAAUGAGGAGCUUCUUGUGAACUGGAGUAAAAGUCACCCAUGUUAUGCCCUAGCAAAGAAGGAUCGCUUUUUUGUUGCAAGUAACAGAAACCUCAAAAGAUGUUGGCAUAAACAUGAGGGAAUAAAUUAGGUCAUAAACAGUGUGUACAGAGGUUAGACAGGAUUCAGGCUUGGUUGAUUCAGGAUCCAGGUUCUUUGCACCUCCCUUCAAUGCUGGUUUCUUUCUCAGGUAGGUAGCAAGAUGGCUGCAGCAGAUCCAGCACUCACCUCCAGACAGGGCAAUAAGAUUAUUUAAUUUCAGUUGAUUCUUGUACGAAGAACUAUAGAAAU
rnacentral:lncRNA from 1 species